GACGAACGCUGACGGCGUGCUUAACACAUGCAAGUCGAACGGAAAGGCCUGCUUUCCCUUGUGGAUUGCGGGUACUCGAGUGGCGAACGGGUGAGUAACACGUGAGUGAUCUGCCCCCAACUUGGGUAUAAGCCUGGGAAACUGGGUCUAAUUCCCGAUAGGACUGCAGGGUGGUGCCUGUGGUGGAAAACGAUUUUCUAGUGGUUGGGGAUGAGCUCGCGGCCUAUCAGCUUGUUGGUGGGGUAAUGGCCUACCAAGGCGGCGACGGGUAGCCGGCCUGAGAGGGUGGACGGCCACAGUGGGACUGAGAUACGGCCCAGACUCCUACGGGAGGCAGCAGUGGGGAAUAUUGCACAAUGGGCGGAAGCCUGAUGCAGCGACGCCGCGUGGGGGAUGACGGCCUUCGGGUUGUAAACUCCUUUCGACCGCGAGGAAGCCACCUGGUUGGAAGGGUGGUGACGGUAGUGGUAGAAGAAGCACCGGCUAACUACGUG
rnacentral:rRNA from 1 species